GCGGAUGGCCGGAUGACCGCGGGUUCCGCGAGGGACGCGAGGAAAGUCCGGACUCCACGAAGCAACGGUGCCGGGUAACGCCCGGCGGGGGCAACCCCAGGGAAAGCGCCACAGAGAACAGACCGCCCCGGCAGGCCCGGGGCAAGGGUGAAACGGUGGGGUAAGAGCCCACCGCGGGACGGGCAACCGGACCGGCAUGGCAAGCCCCACCGGGAGCAAUGCCUAAUAGGGGAUCCGCAUGGGCUGCUUCGGCCCCGAGAUCCCGGGUUGGCAGCUUGAGCGCGUCGGCAACGGCGGGCCUAGAGGAAUGGUCAUCCAGGGGGGCAACCCCCGGACAGAAUCCGGCUUACAGGCCAUCCGCGCAU
rnacentral:RNase_P_RNA from 1 species